GUGGCGGUGGUGCAACCGUUUAGCACAUGCUCCCGGGAAGAGUAUGAUCUGGGUUAGAAUCCCGGUUGACACA